UACGAAGGGGGCUAGCGUUGUUCGGAAUUACUGGGCGUAAAGCGCGCGCAGGCGGUUUUUCAAGUCAGUGGUGAAAGCCCGGAGCUCAACUCCGGAACUGCCAUUGAAACUGUGAAACUCGGGGAUGAGAGAGGUGAGUGGAAUUCCCAGUGUAGAGGUGAAAUUCGUAGAUAUUGGGAAGAACACCGGUGGCGAAGGCGGCGACCUGGUCCUUGACUGACGCUGAGGCGCGAAAGCGUGGGGAGCAAACAGG
rnacentral:rRNA from 1 species